rnacentral:misc_RNA from 1 species
CUAUAAAUGUGUGAUCAACAGUCUCACUUCAUGCGUCUCCAGCGUGUUAGAUAAAUCCUAGCCCAUCUUCAUUUAAGUCAUCGCUUCCCAUCAUUGGGCAAUCAUUUGCAUCAUGUCCAAACUGCCCACAGCAAGGCAGAGAGCAUCGCCUGCGCUUCCUGUAGAUAUUUAUCCCAUCUCUUAUCCUCUCUUUCAUCUUUUCCAAGGUCAUUGGAUCAUGAGUAUUCCCAGCAGCAAAACUUUGGACAAAUCCAACAGAAUCUUCAACCUCUGGAAGAAUCAAUGAGUCAGAUGGGCUAGUAUAAGCAACAUCAUUAUCAUCAUGUGCUGGCCCAGGAAAUUCCUUGAUACGAG